rnacentral:rRNA from 1 species
CAGCCGCCGCGGUAACACGAAGGGUGCAAGCGUUACUCGGAAUUACUGGGCGUAAAGCGUGCGUAGGUGGUGGUUUAAGUCCGUUGUGAAAGCCCUGGGCUCAGCCUGGGAAUUGCAGUGGAUACUGGAUCACUAGAGUGUGGUAGAGGAUAGUGGAAUUUCCGGUGUAGCCGUGAAAUUCGUAGAUAUUCGCAAGAACACCAGUGGCGAAGGCGGCUCACUGGCCCGGAACUGACGCUGAGACGCGAAAGCGUGGGGAGCAAACAGGAUUAGAUACCCCCGUAGUCCCUGUCUCUUAUAC